rnacentral:rRNA from 1 species
UAACCUUUUAGGAGCUAGCCGUCGAAGGUGGGACAAAUGAUUGGGGUGAAGUCGUAACAAGGUAGCCGUAUCGGAAGGUGCGGCUGGAUCACCUCCUUU